GAGGACUAACCCCUUGACUUUGCUAUCAGCGUCGAUCCCAUCUCUGUUGGCAAGGGCCCUAUUUCGACAACAGAACAAUAGGGUAUUUAUUC
rnacentral:ribozyme from 1 species